UACGGGAGGCAGCAGUGGGGAAUAUUGCACAAUGGGCGAAACCCUGACCCAGCAACGCCGCGUGAGGGAAGAAGGUUUUCGGAUCGUAAACCUCUGUCCUUGGUGAAGAGGAAGAGACGGUAGCCAAGGAGGAAGCCCCGGCUAACUACGUGCCAGCAGCCGCGGUAAU
rnacentral:rRNA from 1 species